rnacentral:rRNA from 1 species
UACGUAGGGUGCAAGCGUUAAUCGGAAUUACUGGGCGUAAAGCGUGCGCAGGCGGUUGUGCAAGACAGAUGUGAAAUCCCCGGGCUCAACCUGGGAAUUGCAUUUGUGACUGCACGGCUAGAGUGUGUCAGAGGGGGUAGAAUUCCACGUGUAGCAGUGAAAUGCGUAGAGAUGUGGAGGAAUACCGAUGGCGAAGGCAGCCCCCUGGGAUAACAACUGA